ACACGUCUACAUUAGAUACCCCCCGUAGUCCCAGCCGUAAACUAUGCGCGUUAGGUGUAUCGGUGACCACGAGUCACCGAGGUGCCGAAGGGAAACCGUGAAACGUGCCGCCUGGGAAGUACGGUCGCAAGGCUGAAACUUAAAGGAAUUGGCGGGGGAGCACCACAACAGGUGGAGCCUGCGGUUUAAUUGGACUCAACGCCGGGAAGCUCACCGGAUAGGACAGCAGAAUGAUUGCCGGGCUGAAGACUCUGCAUGACUAGCUG
rnacentral:rRNA from 1 species